GACGAACGCUGGCGGCGUGCUUAACACAUGCAAGUCGAACGGAAAGGCCCUGCUUUUGUUGGUUGCUCGAUUGGCGAACGGGUGAGAAACACGUGAGUAACCUGCCCUUUACUGUCGGAUAUCUUCAGGAAACUCGGGCGCCUACCCGGUAUACUCUCCUGCUGCGUGGUGUGGAUUGGAAAGUUUCGGCGGUUGGGUUUGGUAUAGAGGCUUCUCGGCUUGUUUGUGGGGUAGUGGCUUACCAAGGCUUGGACGGGUAGCCGGCCUGAGCGGGUGGCCGGCCACAGUGGGACUAAGAUAAGGAACAGAAGGCUAGGGGAGGCAGCAGUGGGGAGUAUUGCACAGUGGGCGGAAGCCUGAUGCAGAAACGCCGGGUGCGGGAGGACGGCCUACGGGUUGUAAACAGCUUUCGACGGUGAUGAAGCGUGCGUGACGGUAAUGGGUCAAGAAGCACCGGCUAACUACGUG
rnacentral:rRNA from 1 species